rnacentral:lncRNA from 10 species
ACAAUGUCUGGUUACUUCAGUCAAGGGCAGAGGGGAUGGGGGAUGAUCAGUCAAAGCAUUAAACUGGUUAGGAAAUUCUAGCUACAGCUGCCUUUAUGAACAGCUGGGGUUAUCUCAAAUACCAGUAUUCUGUACCCACAUCUAAUUUAUGCAUUCCUGCUUUAAAACCUUUAACGUCUUUUAAAUGCGUUCUGGACCAAGCCUAAACCCCUUAGUCCUCUAAAGGUAUGCAUAUCUGCACCUCACUAGUAUCUCAUCUCCAGCUUCCCGAGCCUGCCACUUGUCUGUGCCCAGCACACCCUGUCCUCACUGCGAUGCCCUCACUCCCUGCCUUAUCUGAUAAAGACCUUGGCUAAGCACUCCUCCCAAUUCCUGCUUGGCUGCUGCCUCCUCUGUGAAGUUUUCCUGGUUUUUGCAGGUAGCCCACAGGACUGAGAGCCUGGCUUCACUCCAGCACUGGCGCUUGUUAAGUGCUUAGCUAAUAUUUGUUGAAUUAUGGAAUAAAUAAAAGCAUUUACCCU